CCGUGGAAGUGGACACCCAGCAAGGAGGUAAUUCCGCUGGAGGCAAAGCAUAGUAGAGAAGAACACCCUGUGAUGAGGUGAGUGUGUCUUGAUUACUUUCACUAGAGUGGCCUCGCGGUGGUUUGAAGCCAUAAUAGGUGUAGCCUCUAUUGGUUUUCAGUCCGUAAAUGUUUUGGGCCAGGUUGAGGAUGACACCAGUCAUAGCGAGGAAGUCUAGACCUAGGAUCACAGGAAACGCCAGGGCUUGGUGAACGGUUCCAUCCGCCAUGACGAAUCUCUGCCUUUCUGCCGGAAGAAAAACUUCCUCUGCUGACGUCACCUGCCUCCACAGACUCUUCUUCAUCAAUGUGAAGAACUCGCUUGCACCUUCUGCCAAUACUC